rnacentral:rRNA from 1 species
GACGUAGGGCGCGAGCGUUGUCCGGAUUUAUUGGGCGUAAAGAGCUCGUAGGCGGCUUGUCGCGUCGACUGUGAAAACCCGCGGCUCAACUGCGGGCCUGCAGCCGAUACGGGCAAGCUAGAAUUCGGUAGGGGAGACUGGAAUUCCUGGUGUAGCGGUGAAAUGCGCAGAUAUCAGGAGGAACACCGGCGGCGAAGGCGGCUGCCUGGACCGGCCCUGACGCUGAGGCGCGAAAGCUAGGGGAGCAAACAGG